CGACAGCGCCCCCUGGGAGCCCGAGGAGCACACUGCGCAGGCGCCCAGACUGCAGCAAGGCGCGGGGAUCGCGGCCUGUCUGCUUGUUGCUGUGCCACCUCUUUCCAGCUGCGCCUGGAGAACGUUAACGCUGAAAGGAUGCUACAGGCAAAACUCCUCGCCACUCCGCAAGGCCCAGGUGUACCUGGUUCUUACCCGUUUCCUCCGUGGUGCCCGGCUCCAGCACCAUACGCUCUGAGAAACCUCAACCUUAGGUUGAGCCCAGGCUCUCGUAGUUUCUCCCGUUACAGCAAAACUAAAACAGCUUGUAGUCAGUGAUCUGUGUCGAAGAGUAUAUUAGUAAUCUGUCCCUGCAUAACAGUCACCCCAAAGCUUAACAACUUAAGACAACAAACAUCUAUUGUCCCACAGAUUCUACAGUGCAGGAGUUUGGGCGUGGCUUGGCUGUUUGGUUCUGUCGUGGUCUCUCAUGAGAUUACAGUCAAGGUGUAGGUCAGGGCUGGAGUAUCUCAAUCACAUGACUGUUGGCGGAGGCCUCGGUUUUUCACUGCGUGGACCUCCCCAUCGGGCCACUUCGGUAUCCCAGUGACAUCCUUACUUCCCGCAGAGCCGGUGAUCCCAGAGAGACCAAGACAGAAGCCACAAUGUCUUUAAUGAUCUCAUCUCAGUAGUCACACACCAUCACUUCACUCACAUUCUAUUGAUCACAAUCCAAGCCUUCAGUGUGGGAGAAUCAACACAAAGGGCUGAGGACAAAGAGACAGGGAUCACUGGGGGCCAUCUGGGAGUCUGGCUACCACAGAGGGCCUGGCAAUAAUGAUGAGGAUGAUGACUUAGGUGAGGAAGAAAGUAUCAUCAAGUUUCAUCCUUGUAUGAUAACCAUUUUCCAAAUCAUAAAAGAGUUGAAUAAAGUUUCUCCCAAUAGGUGGCAGUGCUUGUCCACAUUGACCUUCAUUCAUUAAAUAAGUAUGUAUCUGCUUUGUGCCAGAUAUUGUCCUAGGUGCUGAGAAGACAUGUGCCUACCCGUGCAGAGCUUACAGAGUGUAACCACUGGGAUGGAGGAAGUAAUCCAACCACAGGAGUGAAGGAGGGUCCUGAAAGAGAACCAGAGCAUCUCCAAGGCACAGCCAAGAUUUAAGGAUGUCACCUUAAUGUCUGCAAGCAACAGGCACUGCAGCUUUCAGAGAGUUCAGAAAUUUAUAUUUCUUUUUUUUUUAAUGGAC